UUGGUCCUACGGGGGGCAGCAGUGGGGGAUAUUGCACAAUGGAGGAAACUCUGAUGCAGCGACGCCGCGUGAGGGAAGACGGUCUUCGGAUUGUAAACCUCUGUCUUUGGGGAAGAAAAUGACGGUACCCAAAGAGGAAGCUCCGGCUAACUACGUGCCAGCAGCCGCGGUAAUACGUAGGGAGCGAGCGUUGUCCGGAAUUACUGGGUGUAAAGGGAGCGUAGGCGGGCGAGAAAGAUGAAUGUUAAAUCUACCGGCUUAACUGGUAGCUGCUUUCAAAAAUUCUUGUCUUGAGUGGAGAAGAG
rnacentral:rRNA from 1 species